rnacentral:rRNA from 1 species
GGGUUGUGAGGUUAAGCGACUAAGCGUACACGGUGGAUGCCCUGGCAGUCAGAGGCGAUGAAGGACGUGCUAAUCUGCGAAAAGCGCCGGCGAGGUGAUAUGAACCCUUGACCCGGCGAUGUCCGAAUGGGGAAACCCAGUGCAAUCCGUUGCACUAUCGUUAACUGAAUACAUAGGUUAACGAGGCGAACCGGGGGAACUGAAACAUCUAAGUACCCCGAGGAAAAGAAAUCAACCGAGAUUCCCCCAGUAGCGGCGAGCGAACGGGGAGCAGCCCGGAGUCUGAAUCAGCUUGUGUGUUAGUGGAACGGUCUGGAAAGUCCGACGGUACAGGGUGAUAGUCCCGUACACGAAAGCACACAUGCUGUGAACUCGAAGAGUAGGGCGGGACACGUGGUAUCCUGUCUGAAUAUGGGGGGACCAUCCUCCAAGGCUAAAUACUCCUGACUGACCGAUAGUGAACCAGUACCGUGAGGGAAAGGCGAAAAGAACCCCGGCGAGGGGAGUGAAAAAGAACCUGAAACCGUGUACGUACAAGCAGUGGGAGCCUCUUUAUGGGGUGACUGCGUACCUUUUGUAUAAUGGGUCAGCGACUUAUAUUCUGUAGCAAGGUUAACCGUAUAGGGGAGCCGAAGGGAAACCGAGUCUUAACUGGGCGUUAAGUUGCAGGGUAUAGACCCGAAACCCGGUGAUCUAGCCAUGGGCAGGUUGAAGGUUGGGUAACACUAACUGGAGGACCGAACCGACUAAUGUUGAAAAAUUAGCGGAUGACCUGUGGCUGGGGGUGAAAGGCCAAUCAAACCGGGAGAUAGCUGGUUCUCCCCGAAAGCUAUUUAGGUAGCGCCUCGUGAACUCAUCUUCGGGGGUAGAGCACUGUUUCGGCUAGGGGGCCAUCCCGGCUUACCAACCCGAUGCAAACUACGAAUACCGAAGAAUGUUAUCACGGGAGACACACGGCGGGUGCUAACGUCCGUCGUGAAGAGGGAAACAACCCAGACCGCCAGCUAAGGUCCCAAAGUCAUGGUUAAGUGGGAAACGAUGUGGGAAGGCACAGACAGCCAGGAUGUUGGCUUAGAAGCAGCCAUCAUUUAAAGAAAGCGUAAUAGCUCACUGGUCGAGUCGGCCUGCGCGGAAGAUGUAACGGGGCUAAACCAUGCACCGAAGCUGCGGCAGCGACACUAUGUGUUGUUGGGUAGGGGAGCGUUCUGUAAGCCGUUGAAGGUGUGCUGUGAGGCAUGCUGGAGGUAUCAGAAGUGCGAAUGCUGACAUAAGUAACGAUAAAGCGGGUGAAAAGCCCGCUCGCCGGAAGACCAAGGGUUCCUGUCCAACGUUAAUCGGGGCAGGGUGAGUCGACCCCUAAGGCGAGGCCGAAAGGCGUAGUCGAUGGGAAACAGGUUAAUAUUCCUGUACUUGGUGUUACUGCGAAGGGGGGACGGAGAAGGCUAUGUCAGCCGGGCGACGGUUGUCCCGGUUUAAGCAUGUAGGCGGAGGUUCCAGGUAAAUCCGGUACCUUGUUAACGCUGAGGUGUGAUGACGAGGCACUACGGUGCUGAAGUGAUAAAUGCCCUGCUUCCAGGAAAAGCCUCUAAGCAUCAGGUAACACGAAAUCGUACCCCAAACCGACACAGGUGGUCAGGUAGAGAAUACCAAGGCGCUUGAGAGAACUCGGGUGAAGGAACUAGGCAAAAUGGUGCCGUAACUUCGGGAGAAGGCACGCUGAUAUGUAGGUGAAGCCCCUGCGGGUGGAGCUGAAAUCAGUCGAAGAUACCAGCUGGCUGCAACUGUUUAUUAAAAACACAGCACUGUGCAAACACGAAAGUGGACGUAUACGGUGUGACGCCUGCCCGGUGCCGGAAGGUUAAUUGAUGGGGUUAGCGGCAACGCGAAGCUCUUGAUCGAAGCCCCGGUAAACGGCGGCCGUAACUAUAACGGUCCUAAGGUAGCGAAAUUCCUUGUCGGGUAAGUUCCGACCUGCACGAAUGGCGUAAUGAUGGCCAGGCUGUCUCCACCCGAGACUCAGUGAAAUUGAACUCGCUGUGAAGAUGCAGUGUACCCGCGGCAAGACGGAAAGACCCCGUGAACCUUUACUAUAGCUUGACACUGAACACUGGUCCUUGAUGUGUAGGAUAGGUGGGAGGCUUUGAAGCGUGGACGCCAGUCUGCGUGGAGCCAACCUUGAAAUACCACCCUUUAAUGGCUGGUGUUCUAACGUAGACCCGUAAUCCGGGUUGCGGACAGUGUCUGGUGGGUAGUUUGACUGGGGCGGUCUCCUCCCAAAGAGUAACGGAGGAGCACGAAGGUUGGCUAAUCCUGGUCGGACAUCAGGAGGUUAGUGCAAUGGCAUAAGCCAGCUUGACUGCGAGCGUGACGGCGCGAGCAGGUGCGAAAGCAGGUCAUAGUGAUCCGGUGGUUCUGAAUGGAAGGGCCAUCGCUCAACGGAUAAAAGGUACUCCGGGGAUAACAGGCUGAUACCGCCCAAGAGUUCAUAUCGACGGCGGUGUUUGGCACCUCGAUGUCGGCUCAUCACAUCCUGGGGCUGAAGUAGGUCCCAAGGGUAUGGCUGUUCGCCAUUUAAAGUGGUACGCGAGCUGGGUUUAGAACGUCGUGAGACAGUUCGGUCCCUAUCUGCCGUGGGCGCUGGAGAAUUGAGGGGGGCUGCUCCUAGUACGAGAGGACCGGAGUGGACGCAUCACUGGUGUUCGGGUUGUCAUGCCAAUGGCACUGCCCGGUAGCUAAAUGCGGAAGAGAUAAGUGCUGAAAGCAUCUAAGCACGAAACUUGCCCCGAGAUGAGUUCUCCCUGAGACUUUAAGUCUCCUGAAGGAACGUUGAAGACGACGACGUUGAUAGGUCGGGUGUGUAAGCGCAGCGAUGCGUUGAGCUAACCGAUACUAAUGAACCGUGAGGCUUAACCUUACAACGCCGAAGGUGUUU